rnacentral:rRNA from 1 species
UGCCUUACACAUGCAAGUCGAACGGCAGCACGGGGGCAACCCUGGUGGCGAGUGGCGAACGGGUGAGUAAUAUAUCGGAACGUACCCUGGAGUGGGGGAUAACGUAGCGAAAGUUACGCUAAUACCGCAUACGAUCUAAGGAUGAAAGUGGGGGAUCGCAAGACCUCAUGCUCCUGGAGCGGCCGAUAUCUGAUUAGCUAGUUGGUGGGGUAAAGGCCCACCAAGGCAUCGAUCAGUAGCUGGUCUGAGAGGACGACCAGCCACACUGGAACUGAGACACGGUCCAGACUCCUACGGGAGGCAGCAGUGGGGAAUUUUGGACAAUGGGGGCAACCCUGAUCCAGCAAUGCCGCGUGUGUGAAGAAGGCCUUCGGGUUGUAAAGCACUUUUGUCAGGAACGAAACGGACUUGGUUAAUACCUGGGUCUAAUGACGGUACCUGAAGAAUAAGCACCGGCUAACUACGUGCCAGCAGCCGUGGUAAUACGUAGGGUGCAAGCGUUAAUCGGAAUUACUGGGCGUAAAGCGUGCGCAGGCGGUUUUGUAAGACUGUCGUGAAAUCCCCGGGCUCA